rnacentral:rRNA from 1 species
AGUGAACGCUGGCGGUAGGCCUAACACAUGCAAGUCGAACGGCAGCACAGUAAGAGCUUGCUCUUACGGGUGGCGAGUGGCGGACGGGUGAGGAAUACAUCGGAAUCUACUUUUUCGUGGGGGAUAACGUAGGGAAACUUACGCUAAUACCGCAUACGACCUACGGGUGAAAGCAGGGGAUCUUCGGACCUUGCGCGAUUGAAUGAGCCGAUGUCGGAUUAGCUAGUUGUCGGGGUAAAGGCCCACCAAGGCGACGAUCCGUAGCUGGUCUGAGAGGAUGGUCGGCCACACUGGAACGGAGACACGGUCCAGACUCCUACGGGAGGCAGCAGUGGGGAAUAUUGGGCAAUGGGCGCAAGCCUGAUCCAGCCAUACCGCGUGGGUGAAGAAGGCCUUCGGGUUGUAAAGCCCUUUUGUUGGGAAAGAAAAGCAGCAGGUUAAUACCCCGCUGUUCUGACGGUACCCAAAGAAUAAGCACCGGCUAACUUCGUG